CAGGCCUAACACAUGCAAGUCGAGCGGUGCUUCCCUUCGGGGUUGUACAGCGGCAAACGGGUGCGUAACGCGUAAGCAACCUGCCCACUACUGGGGGAUAGCCUUGCGAAAGCGGGGGUAAACCCGCAUGGUCCUUUUCCUUCACCUGGGGGGAUAGGUAAACAUUAAUGGGUAGUGGAGGGGCUUGCGUCUGAUUAGCUAGUUGGCGGGGUAAGGGCCCACCAAGGCGACGAUCAGUAGGGGUUCUGAGAGGAUUGGCCCCCACAUGGGUACUGAGACACGGACCCAACUCCUACGGGAGGCAGCAGUAGGGAAUAUUGGGCAAUGGAGGCGACUCUGACCCAGCCAUGCCGCGUGGAGGAUGACGGCGCUCAGCGUUGUAAACUCCUUUUAACUGGGAAGAACGGCAGGUUUGCGAAUCUGUGUGACGGUACCAGUGGAAUAAGCACCGGCUAACUCCGUGCCAGCAGCCGCGGU
rnacentral:rRNA from 1 species